rnacentral:rRNA from 1 species
AGUAACGCGUGGGUAACCUGCCUCAUACAGGGGGAUAACAGUUAGAAAUGACUGCUAAUACCGCAUAAGCGCACAGUGCUGCAUGGCACAGUGUGAAAAACUCCGGUGGUAUGAGAUGGACCCGCGUCUGAUUAGCUAGUUGGUGGGGUAACGGCCUACCAAGGCGACGAUCAGUAGCCGGCCUGAGAGGGUGAACGGCCACACUGGGACUGAGACACGGCCCAGACUCCUACGGGAGGCAGCAUG